UACAGAGGGUGCAAGCGUUAAUCGGAAUUACUGGGCGUAAAGCGUGCGUAGACGGUUAUUUAAGUCAGGUGUGAAAGCCCCGGGCUCAACCUGGGAAUUGCAUUUGAGACUGAAUAGCUAGGGUGCGGAAGAGGGAAGCGGAAUUUCCGGUGUAGCGGUGAAAUGCGUAGAUAUCAGGAAGAACACCUAUGGCGAAGGCAGCACUCUGGGACGGUACUGACGCUGAGACGCGAAAGCGUGGGGAGCGAACAGG
rnacentral:rRNA from 1 species